CCCUCUUCGUCCUCUCUCUCCCGGUCUCUCCUUCUCUCUCGGUCUCUCUCUGUUUCUCGACCGACGGAGCUCGGCUGCCUCCGGAGAGGAGCCUCCGUUGCCGGCGUCCGCCCGUCACUCAAUCACUGCCGCCUCGUCCAUUUUCAAGUACGUUUCUUUAUCACAAACCACUCCAUACCUUAACACACACACAAACUCAUCUCCUCCUUCAUUCAUGGUCAAAAACUAGUGUCGGGGUGCGGUCGGCUCGCCGGUGUGCGCGAGACCAGCCGCCGUUGACUUGCGGGCGUUGGGCAGUGGCGGAAGUGGCGAAGAAGAAAGCUGAGGGGCAGCAGCGGUGGCUGCCACCGUGUGACAGCAGCGGCGUCGGCGUGUACGGCUGCCAAACGGAGCAGCUGUGUGCGUGUGGCUGUCGAGAGUGCAGCAAGGUGUGCGUGGCUGCCUUGUGACUGCAGCGGCGGCUGCCCGGCAGAGGCAACAGCAGCAUCGUCCGGCAGGGCAUCGGCUUUAUUAAUUCUAAGCUAUACUCUCAUCUUGAGAGAUUUUGUGGAAGAACAAAAGAAUUAAGGGUAGAGAUGGUGUGAUAUUUAUAGUGGAAAAGGAUACAUGGAAAAACAUGGUCAAUUCUCUAACCCAUGGAAGCAAACUAUUACACAAGAGAUAAUGACUUUUGCUAAAAAGGGUAUCGGGGUUCAAGGCGUGACUAUUAAGCAAGAUCCGGAGGGCAUGAAGAGUAUUUUUAUUUUUAUUUUUAUUUUUACUCUAAUGUUGAACGCGAUGUAGAACGGGGUUUUGAUCUAUGAAAACUAGAU